ensembl:rRNA 5S_rRNA 5S ribosomal RNA
GUUUACGGCCACACCACUCUGAACACGCCCGAUCUCGUCCGAUCUCGGAAGCUAAGCAGGGUCGGGCCUGGUUAGUACUUGGAUGGGAGACCGCCUGGGAAUACCAGGUGCCGUAAGCU